rnacentral:rRNA from 1 species
CAUGCAAGUCGAACGGAGAAUGCAAGACAGAAGCCUUCGGGCGGAAGACCUGUAUUCUUAGUGGCGGACGGGUGAGUAACACGUGAGCAACCUACCUUCAAGAGGGGGAUAGCACCUGGAAACGGGUGGUAAUACCGCAUAAGACCACGGAGCCGCAUGGCUUUGGGGUCAAAGGAGCAAUCCGCUUGAAGAUGGGCUCGCGUCCGAUUAGAUAGUUGGUGAGGUAACGGCUCACCAAGUCGACGAUCGGUAGCCGGACUGAGAGGUUGAACGGCCACAUUGGGACUGAGACACGGCCCAGACUCCUACGGGAGGCAGCAGUGGGGGAUAUUGCACAAUGGGCGAAAGCCUGAUGCAGCGACGCCGCGUGAGGGAAGACGGCCUUCGGGUUGUAAACCUCUGUCAUUCGGGACGAAUCAGAUGACGGUACCGAAGAAGGAAGCUCCGGCUAACUACGUGCCAGCAGCCGCGGUAAUACGUAGGGAGCGAGCGUUGUCCGGAAUUACUGGGUGUAAAGGGAGCGUAGGCGGGAAAGCAAGUUGGAAGUGAAAUACAUGGGCUCAACCCAUGAGCUGCUUUCAAAACUGUUUUUCUUGAGUGAAGUAGAGGCAGGCGGAAUUCCUAGUGUAGCGGUGAAAUGCGUAGACAUUAGGAGGAACACCAGUGGCGAAGGCGGCCUGCUGGGCUUUAACUGACGCUGAGGCUCGAAAGCGUGGGUAGCAAACAGGAUUAGAUACCCUGGUAGUCCACGCUGUAAACGAUGAUUACUAGGUGUGGGGGAUUUCGGUCCUCCGUGCCGGAGCAAACGCAAUAAGUAAUCCACCUGGGGAGUACGGCCGCAAGGCUGAAACUCAAAGGAAUUGACGGGGGCCCGCA